UUCAUUUGAAGUCCACAUAGAAAAAGAGCCUUGUUGUUAGUUUAAAGCAAAAUAGAUAUAAACCUGUUGAACAACAUGCCUUGGUGGGGAAAAAAAAACAUGAAAGAGCUGGAGGAACUCAACAGGCUUGGCAACAUCUGUGGAGAGAAAGGAAUUUGGAACAAAAUGUACUCCCUUCUGCAUUCUUUGCCCACUCAAAAUCAGCACUGAACUAAUCUGAGAUAAAUUUCUGGCACACCCAAAGGAUCAUGAAACAGGUGACAGGAAUUGCAGUUUGUUGACUGCUUGCUUCUAUUAUGGAUGUCAAUGUAGACCCUGGGCAGCCAGUCUGAGAAUAAUGCAGAAAUUGUGAUACAAUGUGUGAUGACAAGCUGUGGGAUACUGCCAACAACACAGAUGUGACUUCAUUGCUGGUGAUUUAUCUGGUCAACCACUCAUGGGAUAGAUAUCAAGUGUUUGUUCCCAGAUUUGUUUUAUUGUAAGAUUGUUAAUAAA